rnacentral:rRNA from 1 species
UACGUAGGGGGCAAGCGUUGUCCGGAUUUAUUGGGCGUAAAGAGCGUGUAGGCGGCCAGAUAGGUCAGCUGUGAAAACUCGAGGCUCAACCUCGAGACGCCGGUUGAAACCAUCUGGCUAGAGUCCGGAAGAGGAGAGUGGAAUUCCGUGGUGUAGCGGUGAAAUGCGCAGAUAUCAGGAAGAACACCCGUGGCUAAGGCGGCUCUCUAGUACGGUACUGACGCUGAGACGCGAAAGCGUGGGGAGCGAACAGG